rnacentral:rRNA from 1 species
AUUGAACGCUGGCGGCAGGCCUAACACAUGCAAGUCGAACGAGUGGCGGACGGGUGAGUAAUGUCUGGGAAACUGCCUGAUGGAGGGGGAUAACUACUGGAAACGGUAGCUAAUACCGCAUACCAUGGGAUGUGCCCAGAUGGGAUUAGCUAGUAGGUGGGGUAAAGGCUCACCUGGGCGACGAUCCCUAGCUGGUCUGAGAGGAUGACCAGCCACACUGGAACGGGGCCACGGUCCAGACGCCUACGGGAGGCAGCAGUGGGGAAUAUUGCACAAUGGGCGCAAGCCUGAUGCAGCCAUGCCGCGUGUAUGAAGAAGGCCUUCGGGUUGUAAAGUACUUUCAGCGGGGAGGCGUUACCCGCAGAAGAAGCACCGGCUAACUCCGUGCCAGCAGCCGCGGUAAUUC